GGCUGGUUAGAUACUGAUCAGAAGAUCAGUUGGGGUCUGCCCACUCUACUCUCUCCCAGAGCCAUCUUGGCUGGCCAUGUGCUCUACAGGGCGCCACUUCCGG